UUCUUGCUGGCCAGCAUGGCCCUCUCAUUCCGGCGAAACUUGGCCCUCCGGUUCUGGAACCACACCUGAACUCUGGCUUCAGUGAGGUUGACUCUGCGUGCAAGGUCUUCCCGUACAAAGGCAUCGGGGUAGUGUGUCCUCUCAAAGACCCUCUCUAGUGCCUGGAGCUGGCUGCUGUUGAAGGUAGUCCUGUUCCUUCUCUGCUUCCUUUUCUUCUUCUCUUCUGAAUUCAGCUGAUCAUUGUCCUGCUGCGGGGUGUCGCUGCCGCUGGUCAGCCCGGGGGACUCCAACAAGCUCCGGCCGGGCUCGCCGCCGCCCUCGUCCCCCUGCGCGGCCACCAUGUCGCCCGCCUCCUCCAGGUCCAGCAGGUGACUCACGGAAAAGUUCUUCUUGGCUUGUAAAUUGUCCAGGCCGGCGGGGCCGUCGAGGCGGGCUGGCAGCAGGGCCUGCCUCUCCAUGGCGUGGGCAUAGCUGGACGCCAUGGUGCCGAGCGGGGGCUUUUCUGCCCUCGCCCCCCCGGCGCCCACCGCCCCCGCUCCCCCCCCAGCCGCCGGCCCUUCGAGGGGGGAAGCGCACGGCCCGAGGGCGGGGGGAACGGGGACCCGACGGCGGUGGGGCGGCUGGAAGGAAAGCCCAACGGAGAGCUGCUAGGGCCGGCCUUAAAACAUGCCGGAGGGGAGAGAGAGGCCGGCUCGGGGCGCCAGGAGCUGCCGCCGGCCGGGAGGAGAACGGUGGCUGUGGGGCGGCUGGGGCGGGUGCGCCCCGUCCCUCCGCCUCCCCGCCCGGCCGCUCCGCUCCCCUCCCU
rnacentral:lncRNA from 1 species